rnacentral:rRNA from 1 species
UACGGAGGGAGCUAGCGUUGUUCGGAAUUACUGGGCGUAAAGCGCACGUAGGCGGCUAUUCAAGUCGGGGGUGAAAGCCCGGGGCUCAACCACGGAACUGCCCUCGAAACUAGAUAGCUAGAAUCUUGGAGAGGCGAGUGGAAUUCCGAGUGUAGAGGUGAAAUUCGUAGAUAUUCGGAAGAACACCAGUGGCGAAGGCGACUUACUGGACGACUGUUGACGCUGAGGUGCGAAAGCGUGGGGAGCAAACAGG